GACGAACGCUGGCGGCGUGCUUAACACAUGCAAGUCGAACGGAAAGGCCCUGCUUUUGUGGGGUGCUCGAGUGGCGAACGGGUGAGUAACACGUGAGUAACCUGCCCUUCACUUUGGGAUAACUUCAGGAAACUGGGGCUACUACCGGAUAGGAGCUCCUGCUGCAUGGUGGGGGUUGGAUCGUUUCGGCGGUUGGGGAUGGACUCGCGGCUUAUCAGCUUGUUGGUGGGGUAGUGGCUUACCAAGGCUUUGACGGGUCGCCGGCCUGAGAGGGUGACCGGCCACAUUGGGACUGAGAGAGGGCCCAGACUCCUACGGGAGGCAGCAGUGGGGAAUAUGGCACAAUGGGCGGAAGCCUGAGGCAGCGACGCCGCGUGCGGGAUGACGGCCUUCGGGUUGAAAACCGCUGUCGCCUGUGACGAAGCGGGAGUGACGGUAAUGGGUAAAGAAGCACCGGCUAACUACGUG
rnacentral:rRNA from 1 species